rnacentral:ncRNA from 1 species
UUGUUCGUAGGCUAAGUAAUAUUAAUUGCUUGAUUUCAGAGAGCUUGUGGUUAGUGAGAACAAGUAAUCGGCAUUAAUAUGAAUCUACCUACUUUAUAGAGAACAAUCGGUUUUAGCCGUUAUUUUAGUGAGAGAGCAGUCUAAUUUGACUGUUAAAUAGGGUGGCAACGCGUAGACCACGUCCCUUGU